GUUGAAAUCUUUUUUUAAGUGUUAAAUUCUUACUUUAGCUUAGGGUUUUGUUCUCUCACCG
rnacentral:tRNA from 1 species